CAGCCUCUAGCUCUUGGGCUUCUGCGAUUCUCCUGCCUCAGCCUCCCGAGCAGCUGGGACUACAGGCGCCCGCCACAAUGCCCGGCUAAGGCUAGACGUACUUCUAGAGAUAGGUUAAUUUGAGCUACUUACCAUGUACCCCACCAAGAAAAGCUGUCAAAAAUGCAUGUUUGGUGCUAUGGACUUGAAAGCAAGAGAUAAAGAAGUAGAAGAAAGGAAGGAAAAACAUCAAGAAAAAGAAGGCCAGCUCAUUUUAUGGCAGUGGGCUUCUCCUAGAGAAGUGAUCCAAGAGAGAGGGCUGGAAUUGGAGAGGCCAAGACGGAAGCCACAGCACCUAAUCUCUAAAGUUGCUACACAUAGUCACCUCAGACAUUGAAUUUGUUACAGGGUGAUUGAAACGAGAGUGAUUCUCACCUGGGAGGAACAAUCACAUACUUCAUACCUGAGGGCUCUCAGCAGCCUCGCUCAGUGUUCUGUCCUCUGAACUGCAAGCUAUUGGGAGCCAGCAAGUCUGUGAUUGAAGCAGGUCCAUGUUCUGAUGCAGUUUCUCCAGCUGUGGAAAUUUCUAGGGCUUAUCAACAUCCCAUGGAAAAUAGUCUAUAUCAAAGCCAGCACUGUGCAGGGGAUAGAGAAAACUAUCACUAGUUCUCAUUCACCUGGGGUACAGGUGCACGUGUGUGAAUUACACAUAAUUACAAAUGCUCUGGACACAUCUGACCCAUUUGCACCGUCUAUGCUACCAACAGAUCAUAUGGAAUCAUCUCAGAAAUUCAGAUUAUUAUGCAGUAUGGGAACAAUCUAGAUAAAGGCAGGUGGGGUGGAUAUUCACACAGAUGUUUUCCCAUAUAUUCGUCAUUGCUAAAGGGUCAGUAAAAUACAGGUUUGUCUUAGGGUUCAUUUUUCGUGGAUCAUUGAUCAUAAGCUUUAUUAUUUUAUUUAUUUAAUUAUUAUUGUUUUUUUGCAGUUUUUGGCUGGGGCUGGAUUUGAACCCACCACCUCUGGCAUAUGGGGCCGGUGCCUUAAUCCAUUGAGCCACAAGUGCCACCCCGAUCAUAAGCUUUAGAAACACUUGCAGAGGGAAAUCCAAAAGUGCCCCAGAGACAGUAUGACGAUAACAAUAUCUGCCUCAUAAACAUAUGCCUCUUAUAUACCUGUCUUAGUUGGCUUUCAUUCCUGUAAAGGAACACCUGAGGCUGGGUAAUUUAUAAAGAAAAGAGGUUUAUUUAGCGCAUGGCUCUGGGGCAGUAUGAGAAGCAUGGCAUAAGCAUCAGCCUCGGGUGAGGGCCUCAGGAAGCCUCUGCUCAUAGCUGGGGGUGAAGGGGAGGAGGCGUGUCACAUGGCAAGAGAGGAGGACAAGAGGGACAGGUGGAGGUGCCAGACUCUUUUCAACAACCAACUCUUUUUUUAUUUUUAGAAACAGUCUUACUUUGUCAGUAGAGUGCUCUGGCAUCAUAGCUCACAGCAACUUCAAA